rnacentral:rRNA from 1 species
AGCGAACGCUGGCGGCAGGCUUAACACAUGCAAGUCGAGCGGGCGUAGCAAUACGUCAGCGGCAGACGGGUGAGUAACGCGUGGGAACAUACCUUUUGGUUCGGAACAACACAGGGAAACUUGUGCUAAUACCGGAUAAUCCCUUACGGGGAAAGAUUUAUCGCCAUUGGAGCGGCCCGCGUAGGAUUAGCUAGUUGGUGGGGUAAAGGCCCACCAAGGCUACGAUCCUUAGCUGGUCUGAGAGGAUGAUCAGCCACAUUGGGACUGAGACGCGGCCCAAACUCUUACGGGAGGCAGCAGUGGGGAAUCUUGCGCAAUGGCCGAAAGCCUGACGCAGCCAUGCCGCGUGAAUGAUGAAGGUCUUAGGAUUGUAAAAUUCUUUCCCCGGGGACGAUAAUGACGGUACCCGGAGAAGAAGCCCCGGCUAACUUCGUGCCAGCAGCCGCGGUAAUACGAAGGGGGCUAGCGUUGCUCGGAAUUACUGGGCGUAAAGGGAGCGUAGGCGGAUAGUCUAGUCAGAGGUGAAAGGCCAGGGCUCAACCUUGGAAUUGCCUUUGAUUAUGGCUAUCUUGAGUACGGAAGAGGUAUGUGGAAGUCCGAGUGUAGAGGUGAAAUUCGAAGGUAUUCGGAAGAACACCACUCGCGAAGGCGACACACUGGUCCGUCGGGAGCAAGAGGCUUAUAAGCGCGGGGAGCAAACAGGAUUAGAGACUUGGUAGUAGGCGCUAUAAAGGAUGAGCACUAGUUAUUGACCGGCAUGCC